ensembl:lncRNA TXLNGY taxilin gamma Y-linked (pseudogene)
GUGAGGGUACUCUGCCGGUUUUGCUGCGGAAGUCACCUCGUGGCGUAGGGGAGAGGUAACACCGAGAAGAGGCAGCGGCGGUGGCGCCAAGACGAUUGGUGCCAAACAGGGCAGAACGCAACUCAGCUCUGGGGUGGGUUCCUGUCCAGAGGGGUAGAGAAGAGUGGCUGAGGGCGCGCCCUGAUCUCAGCGGGAAGAGUGCGACCCCGAGGGCGCGCUAGUUUGUGAAUAGCACAAUGGAAGAAGCUGGACUUUGUGGGUUAAGAGAGAAAGCAGAUAUGUUGUGUAACUCUGAAUCACAUGAUAUUCUUCAACAUCAAGACUCAAAUUGCAGUGCCACAAGUAAUAAACAUUUAUUGGAAGAUGAAGAAGGCCGUGACUUUAUAACAAAGAACAGGAGUUGGGUGAGCCCAGUGCACUGCACACAAGAGUCAAGAAGGGAGCUUCCUGAGCAAGAAGUAGCCCCUCCGUCUGGUCAGCAAGCUUUACAAUGCAACAGGAACAAAGAAAAAGUCUUAGAGAGACAAGGUCUUUCCCUGUCACCCAGGCUGGAGCGCGGUGGUACAUUCAUGGGUCAUGGCAGCCUUAAACUCCCUGAGCUCGUGAUCCUGUCUCUUCAGACUCUAGAGUAGCUGGGGCUACAGGCGUACACCACCACACAUGGCUAAUUUUUUAUUUUUCUUUUGUUGUAGAGAUGGGCUGUCAUUCUCUUGCCCAGGCUGGUCUUGGUAUACUGUCCUGUAGCAGUAUAUUUUGGCUACCUGUACUGGCAUUGGCUUUUCCAAGUGUCAAGAUUACAGGUGUGAGCUAGUAUACCCUGCCCAGUGUUUCUUUCUUACUUGGCUUUGGUGUGAAUGAGAAAAGAAUUUAGUACUAAAAUUUUAUGUGCAUACAGAAGCAUUAUUUGAAGUCAGCCUGUUUUCCCUCAACCUCUAGUACUCUGUAAAGUAUACCAAAAGUCAAGGUUUUAAAGAACUGUGUUACAUAUUAGAGAGAACAAAUCAAAAGUUACCUAUCUCCAUCGUUACCAGUAGAACAUUAGUAUGUAUUUUGAAGCACCAUUUGACUCUUUCUAUUUCAGCUACUUGCUUGUCCCUUGCAAAGUUAUUAUAGUACUCUUUUAAAACUUUUCUUCAAGGGAAGAGCUAUUUUGACUUCCUUUUCUUUGAUCUAAACCUAACACCCAGAAUAUGCUUAGCAGAUCAUCCCAAAACAAUCAUAACUUGUUUAAAUUGUUCAUAGCAAAAGUUACAUAUUAUAAAGAGUUAUGAGUGUCUUAGGCAGUGAAUAGUAACUGAAUAUCCUUUUAUAGUUGUCCUUCACUAGCAGGAAGCCUUAUUCCCUGCCCUUUUACAUAUCUUAACUUAGAAUGUUACUGUCUAAAUAGUGGUUAGGCAAGAGUAGUUCUUAAACGUGCAGUAAUUAUCUUGCACUACAUUUAAGGGCUAAAUAGCUAGUAGUGGUGCUUGAUAAUUGAAGAAAUUUGUACAGCUGGAGGAAGUACCUGCUAAAUUUUCAAAAGUUACCUGAAUUUAAUAGGUAAAUCUGUUUUUAAUUAGAGCUAUAUCAUUUUACUCUGAAUGUCUUAACAUAGAAGUUUACAUAAAAUUUACAGAUUGGAUUGAUUUCAGCCUUCUUCUGGUACUUUUUAAAAUCUUAUUAAUCAUUAGGAAAAGAAGUUUUAUUAUUGAUGCAAGCCCUAAACACUCUUUCGACUCCAGAGGAGAAGCUGGCAGCUCUCUGUAAGAAAUAUGCUGAUCUUGGAAAUUCACCUCUUCUAUAGAAGAGUUUGUUUUGAACUAUACGAUUUGAAACAAAAUUCUUUUUUUGGAGACUAUGGAAACAUUCUCAACAGGGAAACCCUACUAGACUUUGUAAAGCAAAUAAUGGAAAAGAUACAGAACUUUUUGAAGAAUCAUGGGAAAUUUUUAUAAUUAAAUAAAUGCUAAAAUUCUGUUUUGUGAAACAUUUAUGGGAAUUAUCACUGACAGUUUUUGUACACUUUCAAAUAGUGUUAAAGCAGCAACUCCAUGUUGUAAAUGCACAAAACAAAUAUUUAGUUAAUAAUCAACUCCAAGAAUAAAGCUGUAACAAUAAUAGUUA